rnacentral:rRNA from 1 species
CGGUGAAGCAGAGCUUGCUCUGUGGAUCAGUGGCGAACGGGUGAGUAACACGUGAGCAACCUGCCCCUGACUCUGGGAUAAGCGCUGGAAACGGCGUCUAAUACUGGAUAUGUGACGUGGCCGCAUGGUCUGCGUCUGGAAAGAAUUUCGGUUGGGGAUGGGCUCGCGGCCUAUCAGCUUGUUGGUGAGGUAAUGGCUCACCAAGGCGUCGACGGGUAGCCGGCCUGAGAGGGUGACCGGCCACACUGGGACUGAGACACGGCCCAGACUCCUACGGGAGGCAGCAGUGGGGAAUAUUGCACAAUGGGCGCAAGCCUGAUGCAGCAACGCCGCGUGAGGGAUGACGGCCUUCGGGUUGUAAACCUCUUUUAGCAGGGAAGAAGCGAAAGUGACGGUACCUGCAGAAAAAGCGCCGGCUAACUACGUGCCAGCAGCCGCGGUAAUACGUAGGGCGCAAGCGUUAUCCGGAAUUAUUGGGCGUAAAGAGCUCGUAGGCGGUUUGUCGCGUCUGCUGUGAAAUCCGGAGGCUCAACCUCCGGCCUGCAGUGGGUACGGGCAGACUAGAGUGCGGUAGGGGAGAUUGGAAUUCCUGGUGUAGCGGUGGAAUGCGCAGAUAUCAGGAGGAACACCGAUGGCGAAGGCAGAUCUCUGGGCCGUAACUGACGCUGAGGAGCGAAAGGGUGGGGAGCAAACAGGCUUAGAUACCCUGGUAGUCCACCCCGUAAACGUUGGGAACUAGUUGUGGGGUCCAUUCCACGGAUUCCGUGACGCAGCUAACGCAUUAAGUUCCCCGCCUGGGGAGUAC